GGGGAUGCACCGGUUUCGAUUGCCGGUGAGCAGAGAAAUAAGCAUACCGCAGACGGAGUGGCUGCGCAACAACAUUCCAAAAAAUCUAAAUGCAGAUAAUAAUGCAGAUUACGCUCUCGCAGCGUAAACUUUAAGGGCAAAGUCCCUUUCGUUAUGCCGGAUUUAUCCGUUGGUUCGGGUCAUAGCGUGAUCAAAACGGAAAAAUCUCUUUUUUGUCCGAGGUUGCAAAGGGGAGAUCAUUCAGACCUCUGCCAUAGAAGUAGGGCGUUUGCCCCCGCCUUGUAUGUAAGAUAAACGGCAAACUGCGUAUGGAGAAAGUUUCCCCGCAGCCGAGUAAGACUUGGGUUCGACUCCCAACAUCUCCACCA
rnacentral:tmRNA from 1 species